rnacentral:lncRNA from 1 species
GGAGACAGAGAUACAGAGCCAGCCCCAGUGACUGGGGAAAUAACUCCAUUUGCAUUCGCAACCCUGUUGCGUCGAGGUGAGGUCCUUUGAAUAAAAUCUCUUUCAUCAUAAGUCAUAUGGUCAGUUGCCCCGGAGUCAAGUAACCAUAAAUUAUUAUUCUUGUCACUGGAGGAUGUAACACAAGCUGAACCAAAAUUACCUGGUUCUGAUGAGGGGUCCGUAUCCUGAAAAUAAUCAUUUUCAGGAAUCAAAGAUAGUUGAGAGUCAGAUGUUGCUACGGCCGCCUU